GGGCAGGUAGCCCUCAUUAAACAGACCACUGCUUGACCCUCAACACGGAGCUCUGUCUCGUUCUUGGGGGGAUUUACUGUAUGCUGAUAGAGACUGAUUGCUAGGAGUGUAAGCUGCUUGGGUGCUUUUCCUAUUCGUCUGCUAGCAGCUAUUCGUGAGGUUCCAGUUCGGGAGUUUGGAGUGCUAUUUUGUAUGCAGUUCGGGAGUUUGGAGCAUUCCCUUACAUGCGGUUCGGG